rnacentral:lncRNA from 13 species
CUGUUAUCUAUUUUUUGUGACUUCUCAUGAGCCUAUAUUAUUUCAAAAUAAAGAGUUGAAAAAAGAAAAUGAAAUAUUAACUUUUUCAGAUGUACAAAACUAAAAGAAUUCAUCACUAGCACAUCUGCUCAAGAAAAUAUUGAAAGAAGUGCUCCAGGCAGAGGCAAAAAUAAUACCUAAACAAAGAAAUAAAGAGCACCAAAAAUUGUACCUCUUUUUUCUUCUGACACUUGAUGGUUUUCCUUAA